CUUCAAAAUCACAUCUCGCCUGAUAAAGGACAGCCCUGGUUUUCCUGUCAAGCUUUUCUCUGUUACGCGAAUCUGACACGGCCCACUUCUACCUCACAAAUUGUUUACAUUUGGAAAGCUCAGUCAUGAAACAGAAGAAGUGACUGAAGCUUUAUCAGUUAAGUUCAUUACUCUUAUUUUACGACCGAGAACACUGAGGCUGCAUUGGAUGGGAGUGCCUUGGCCAUGGUAUCAUGGCGGAUAUCUGUAGACUGCACAAUGCAAUGCUGUCUGCCGUGGAGCAAUACCUCUCAGCACUGGU